AAGAAGCUCUUCAAUAUAAGCUAAAUUCACUAGCAUUAUAGUGUAUAUAUCUGGUUCUCUGGUUAUUGUUCUUUAUAAUAUAUGAUUCUUUCACUUCAUUGGAGUCAAGUUGGAUCAUUGGAAGCCUUUUACUCGCUUCACGAUAUAUGCGUUCUUUCAAUCUGACUCAAAUGAUGGAGAUAUCUCCUGAAGAAAUAAGCAUCGUCUUUUUCCACAACUUAUGUGCAAUGGCUAAGCUCAAAAACGAAGUAAACAGACAUUCUCUAUUUUAAGGAGCUGUAUUACCAAAUUCGACUUCCCCAACGGGGGUGACUCCCGCAGACGUCUGGCGACGACGCUUGAAGCAGACGAAGCUCAGCAACCCCAGGAGGAAGGCGCCGAUGAGGCCAAGAAAGAGGAGGCCCCAUGUCGCCGAAAGCGAGCCGUCUGCAGAGUUAGGUGGCGUGCCCUGGAAACCCAUCCUGCAGAAAACCAUGAACAUUAAAUUAGAAACAUAUAUGGAAAUGGAGCCGUUUCAUAUACUAAAAACAUAUAACGGGUUACUUGCACCACAAGAAGCUAGCUAGUUCAGUUCCAGGCAUGGCGUCUUGAAGGAACAUAGACGACUGGCUCUAGUUUUUAAGAACGGAUUUUAAAAGGUGUGAUAUGGUUAAAUUCACCUCAAAUGAUGCAAAAGAUGACUUGCACCACAAGAAGCUGGUUCAGUUCCAGUUCCAGUUCACCACAAUUUGAGCUCAGCACAAGAGAAAGAGGGAGGAAUAUAUGAAAUCAGAUGGUUCCAAUAAGGCCACGUGAGCACGAAUUCCAAAGGAAGAUCAAAAUGUUUGAAGCUUAUACGUACAAAGAGGAAAGAGAUGAAGCGUUGAAGAUUAACAGAUAACUUAAUAUCUCAAUAGGUCCUAAGGAUACAACAUCAGAAGAACUUAUAUCAAGUAGAGAUACUAUAACUAAGAAGAAUCAUUACUAGUAAGUCUAAAAAGAAAAGACUAUAUAAUAUGGACAGUUUACCAACCUAUUAUUAUUUGCUAGAUGUACUUUCUCCAACAAAAACCUCUAGUAAAAUUUAUUUUUUA